UACAGAGGUCUCAAGCGUUGUUCGGAUUCAUUGGGCGUAAAGGGUGCGCAGGCGGCGGGGCAAGUCGGACGUGAAAUCUCGGGGCUUAACCCCGAAACUGCGUUCGAUACUGCCCUGCUUGAGGACUGGAGAGGAGACUGGAAUUCCUGGUGUAGCAGUGAAAUGCGUAGAUAUCAGGAGGAACGCCAAUGGCGAAGGCAAGUCGCUGGACAGUUCCUGACGCUCAUGCACGAAGGCCAGGGGAGCAAACGGG
rnacentral:rRNA from 1 species